GGUUUUGGAAGGAACAGACAUUGUGUUUGCUGCUGAGGAAAGUGCUCUUUGUGAACUGACUCCAUCAGCAUGUUCUGUAUCUACAACAACCAUUCAACAACCAUCUGUGCCAGUAGAUAUGUGACACCUCGUCUUGCCCGUGCAAUCACUAAACUGAGUCACUUGGUCAGAACAGAGUGGACAAACGCAACACUCAUAGUACUAGCUGCCUGGGAUGAGCCAAGCCCAGCUUUUUCCUAAUGGUCACCAUGGAAACAAUUCACUACACUACGAAGGUAGAGCUGCUGUUGUAACCUUGACAGGAUUUCCAGCCGCCAACACCGUUGACAAUACGACCUUUGACAGACUGGGUUCCUUUGCGUCUGUUCUGGAUUCGACUUUGUCAGCAUCAACAGAGACCUCGCUGUUGUGCGUGGCAAUGAAGAAGGGCGGUGGGAUGAACAUAAGUACGGACAAAGCGAUGUUUGAGGAUCUGAUUGCUGACGAUGGUGAUGACACUCGUUUGCAAAGUGUGCGAAAGAGGCCCCUACUCUGAAUGUAGGCGACACCAUACCAUCCGGAGAAAGCGUGGAUGAAGCAUGUGGGCCUCCUCAAGGUGCCCUGAGCAGGUUGAACUCUGAAGAUAUGCAAAGGCUGUAUCACUACGACAUGUGUGAUGUUGUGUUCAGGCCUGAGGGGAGUCCCAUCAGUGUGUGUGGAUUCUCCACCCGAAGAUGUAGAACACCUUGUCUACCCUCCAUGAACCAAACAGAACCUUGGUCAUAUUGUAGCACCCGGCUAAUGACUCCAAGGAUGGCGCUCAAACUAAGACAACUCGCUAAACUAGCACAUACAGAAGGCAUAGGCGUGAACGUUGAAGGGCAUUUACUGAGCAGUCAGACACGCCACCGCACUUCAGAGAAGGAAGAGGGCUGGGUCUCACAAGUUCGCCAAUUUCAAGUUUAAAUAGAUUGGCAGUUUUGGCUGCAUGCUCUGGUUUCGAUUUCAUGAACUUUUCAAGCCCCAAUUUAUCGAAGUGUUUGUCAAGAGUCAGGACGAUUUCAUUGGAAUACGGGUAGGGAUUUUCUCAUGACGACAUUGCUAGGCUUGCAGUUGGCCCUCUUCCAAAUGAACAAACAGAAUAUCUGUACCCGGAAUCUCUAGAAGAUGAAGCAAUAUCGCCAAACCUUUUUCUGGGCGUUGACAAAGAGACGUAUCUCUCUGAAUAUUACUCAAUCAAGAUAUGAGCUGUCCCAACAGACAUUAUUUGCGGGUGGACUCAUCACUGCUCAUGUGUCUUGAUCUUAUUUCCGAGGAAUAUGGUGAUAAAGUAGAAAUUGUAAAAGGUUCUGGGUAUCGUACACAGUCCGUCAACAUGGUGAAUUUUGACAUUAGGCAUGUGGAGGAAAUGUAUAGAUUCCAAACAGGUCAGGCCGUUGAGUUGAGGCCACCUCGAUAUCGACAUAAUUCCGAAUUAGUGUAUUUGGCUAAGACAUUGUUCAGAUCCUGUACGCCCUUUCUGAGACAGGAGAUGAGGGGGUUUAGUGUCAGGUGUCACCAGGAUCGACUGUAUGUGGAUAUCAGACCUCUUCAAGUUGGCAAUGAACUGAACUACAUCACACUGUGGAACACUGGGAACACUACCUACUACAGGCAGAUAUUGGACAUACAA
rnacentral:lncRNA from 1 species